rnacentral:SRP_RNA from 1 species
GCCGGGUGUGGUGGCGCACGCCUGUAGUCCCAACUACUCGGGAGGCUGAGGCAGAAGGAUUGUUUGAGCCCAGGAGGCGGAGGUUGCAGUGAGCCGAGACCGCGCCACUGCACUACAGCCUAGGCAACAAAGCGAGUCCCUGUCUUUU